GCGAGAGUGGCGGAAUUGGUAAACGCACUAGACUUAGGAUCUAGCGGAGCAUUCCUUAAGAGUUCGAGUCUCUUCUCUCGUACCA
rnacentral:tRNA from 3 species